rnacentral:tRNA from 1 species
GACCGCGUAGCUCAGUUGGCAGAGCAUUGGGCUAGUUUUCCAAAGGUCGAAGUUUCGAUUCCCACCGUGGUCA